rnacentral:rRNA from 1 species
GACGAACGCUGGCGGCGUGCCUAAUACAUGCCAGUUGAGCGCUGAAGGUUGGUACUUGUACCGUCUGGAUGAGCCGCGAACGGGUGAGUAACGCGUGGGGCAUCUGCCUUUCAGCGGGGGACAACAUUUGGAAACGAAUGCUAAUACCGCAUAAAAACUUUAAACACAAGUUUUAAGUUUGAAAGAUGCAAUUGCAUCACUCAAAGAUGAUCCCGCGUUGUAUUAGCUAGUUGGUGAGGUAAAGGCUCACCAAGGCGAUGAUACAUAGCCGACCUGAGAGGGUGAGCGGCCACAUUGGGACUGAGACACGGCACAAACGCCUACGGGAGGCAGCAGUAGGGAAUCUUCGGCAAUGGACGAAAGUCUGACCGAGCAACGCCGCGGGAGUGAAGAAGGAUUUCGGGUCGGAAAACUCUGUUGGUAGAGAAGAACGUUGGUGAGAGUGGAAAGCUCAGCAAGUGACGGUAACUACCCAGAAAGGGACGGCUAACUACGUG